UACGUAGGUGUCAAGCGUUGUCCGGAUUUAUUGGGCGUAAAGCGCCCGCAGGCGGCUUGCCAAGUUCGAUGUGAAAUCUCCCGGCUCAACUGGGAGGGUGCAUCGAAAACUGGCAGGCUUGAGGCAGGGAGAGGGAUGUGGAAUUCCAGGUGUAGUGGUGAAAUGCGCAGAUAUCAGGAAGAACACCCGUGGCGAAGGCGGCUCUCUGGGACGGUACUGACGCUGAGACGCGAAAGCGUGGGGAGCGAACAGG
rnacentral:rRNA from 1 species